rnacentral:rRNA from 1 species
UACGUAGGGUGCGAGCGUUAAUCGGAAUUACUGGGCGUAAAGCGUGCGUAGGCGGUUUCGCAAGUCAGAUGUGAAAUCCCCGGGCUUAACCUGGGAACUGCGUUUGAAACUACGGAGCUAGAGUGUGGCAGAGGGGGGUGGAAUUCCACGUGUAGCAGUGAAAUGCGUAGAUAUGUGGAGGAACACCGAUGGCGAAGGCAGCCCCCUGGGCCGACACUGACGCUCAUGCACGAAAGCAUGGGGAGCGAACAGG